rnacentral:rRNA from 1 species
UACGAAGGGGGCUAGCGUUGCUCGGAAUCACUGGGCGUAAAGGGUGCGUAGGCGGGUCUUUAAGUCAGGGGUGAAAUCCCUCGGCUUAACCGGGGAACUGCAUCUGAUACUGGAUGGCUUGAGUUCGGGAGAGGGAUGCGGAAUUCCAGGUGUAGCGGUGAAAUGCGAAGAUAUCUGGAGGAACACCGGUGGCGAAGGCGGCAUCCUGGACCGGCACUGACGCUGAGGAGCGAAAGCCAGGGGAGCAAACGGG